rnacentral:misc_RNA from 1 species
AGUAAAGCUGCAGAACAGGUAAUUAGAAAUUAUUAUUCUUGUUUUCCUUCCUUAUAGAUAUAAACAAAUCAUUCAUCAUUAUAUAUAUUAGAUUGCCUCUUAGUAAAUUAGGAAGAUUGGUCAUAUGUUUACAUACUUGCUUACAGUAUUCUGAAUUGGGUUCAUUUUCAAAAGAAAAGCAAGAGAAAAAUAGAAAAGCAAAACGAAAAAAGAGGAGAUGUUUUGUAUAGUUGCAAGUCCUUCCAUCGUAGAUGCAUUACUACUGAACUGAUGAUAGGUAUUUUCUAAGUAUCAGAUCAUAUGAUCAUACUGCUCUUAUUGACUUGCAUAUUACAUUAUCUUGUAGGGUUGGAGG